rnacentral:rRNA from 1 species
UACGUAGGGGGCAAGCGUUAUCCGGAUUUACUGGGUGUAAAGGGAGCGUAGGCGGCAGUGCAAGUCAGAAGUGAAAGCCCGGGGCUCAACUCCGGGACUGCUUUUGAAACUGUACAGCUUGAUUGCAGGAGAGGCAAGUGGAAUUCCUAGUGUAGCGGUGAAAUGCGUAGAUAUUAGGAGGAACACCAGUGGCGAAGGCGGCUUGCUGGACUGUAAAUGACGCUGAGGCUCGGAAGCGUGGGGAGCAAACAGG